rnacentral:rRNA from 1 species
GCGUAAAGGGCUCGCAGGCGGUUUCUUAAGUCUGAUGUGAAAGCCCCCGGCUCAACCGGGGAGGGUCAUUGGAAACUGGGAAACUUGAGUGCAGAAGAGGAGAGUGGAAUUCCACGUGUAGCGGUGAAAUGCGUAGAGAUGUGGAGGAACACCAGUGGCGAAGGCGACUCUCUGGUCUGUAACUGACGCUGAGGAGCGAAAGCGUGGGGAGCGAACAGGAUUAGAUACCCUGGUAGUCCACGCCGUAAACGAUGAGUGCUAAGUGUUAGGGGGUUUCCGCCCCUUAGUGCUGCAGCUAACGCAUUAAGCACUCCGCCUGGGGAGUACGGUCGCAAGACUGAAACUCAAAGGAAUUGACGGGGGCCCGCACAAGCGGUGGAGCAUGUGGUUUAAUUCGAAGCAACGCGAAGAACCUUACCAGGUCUUGACAUCCUCUGACAACCCUAGAGAUAGGGCUUUCCCUUCGGGGACAGAGUGACAGGUGGUGCAUGGUUGUCGUCAGCUCGUGUCGUGAGAUGUUGGGUUAAGUCCCGCACCGAGCGCAACCCUUGAUCUU